ACUACAUGACGCAGACGCUGCCUU
rnacentral:siRNA from 1 species